AAGAAGCGAAGCGACGCUAUUGGAAAGAGAGAAAAAGAAAAUAAAAGAAGAGGCUAGAUGAGAGAAGGGGGAAAGGGAGAAAGAGGUUGAGGAAGUUUUGGGAUUGGGUGGGUUUGGUAAGAAAACUUGAUCAUAUAUCUGAAUGAACUCGUUUCCUACCGAUUCCACCCAUUCCGAUGAUUUCCUCGGUCUCCUCCUUUUCCCCUUUGCUGUCCUGUCCAACCCUUUUCCCGACUAUUCUCUGUGCAAUCAGAUGCUGCUGGUAAGUUGCUAAAUACAUGAGAUGUGGGCAGCAAGAUAUUGGCCUGCCCUGCAAUGGGAACUGCCCUUGGCUCUACCUCCACCAAAGACGUGGCAUGCCAAUUGUUGAGUUUCCAUCACUUGUAUUAUAAGCUCAACCUGAGUUCAGUUCCUCGAAUUCGAGGGCAUUCGGAAUUUCUUUUCUCCAAAAGAAGAUGAUUGGGUUUUUCAGCUGCGAUUGAACGCUCGCAAAUGGUAUUGCUACAUUAAUAGUGCUAUCAAUGUGCCAACUUUUCCCAAAUACGUGUGUGUUAUAUAAUUUUUUUUCUUUUCCCUGAAUCUAACAAUUCUUCGGUAGGCUCUUUCCGGGGCUUUCGUCUUUUGGGUUUUCAUUGGGCCGAUUGUUGGGCUUUCAUUUUCGAUUGUAAAAUGUAUUCUCCAUUUACCAAGAACCUUCUCCAUUACCGUCUGACCAAAACAAAAAACAAAAAACAAGUCCCCAAAAAUGCCUUGCUGAUAUUUACCUUUUUAACCCCUGAAAAACACAUAAGUCUCCUCACUGGUUUCUUCUAGAGUUUUAGUCUCAGAAAUAUAUAUAUAUGGGAGAGGGAAAGUGACUUUACUCAUAACUACUACUACUCAAAUACAUAGACAAGGAGAUCAAAAGCAGGCAGCAAGAGGAAAUGGAAAUUUUUGGGUGAGAGGUUGCCGGAAAGAAUACAUAAUAUUCAUACAAGUUUUGAUAUUAAACUCUUUCCGAAACCUCCCAUUCCAAUGAUUUCCAGCUAUUCCUUUCUCUUCUCCAACCUAACCCAACACAAGACAAAUAGAGUUUGUGCCUUUAUUCUAUUCCACCAACCAGUCCACGCCACCGAUACUUAAAGGCUGAACCCCUCCCCUCCAAAAUAAUUUGUUCAAUUCACAUCAAUGGAAUGGUUCCUUUCAGUUCCAGAUGAAAAGAGAGACAGAGACAGAGACAGAGAGAGAAGAGGGAAAGGGAGAAGAGCUUGAGGAAGUUUUUGGCCAUGGGAGGUUUGGCAAGAAAUAUUUAUUAUAUAUUCUACUACUUCAGGUUCUGUUUGAAGUAUGUAUGUAUAAGUAGUUCUUGCCUAUUCCUCCCAUGCCAAUGAUUUCCUAAUUGGGUUCAUCUCUUUCCCUUGCUUUUCUUAUAUCUGGACAAUCGUUUAUUUUGUGAAGGAAGUCACAUGGGGAUGGAGCUCAAUUUUUAUCAAUUUGUUAAACUCAUUUGGGCUGGCUUUU